rnacentral:rRNA from 1 species
CACGUGAGAAUCUGCCUUUAGGAAAGGGACAACAUUUGGAAACGAAUGCUAAUACCUUAUAUGCCUAUUAUAACUUGUAUAAUUAAUAGGUGAAAAGUUUUCUGCCUGGAGAGGAGCUCGCGGCUGAUUAGCUAGUUGGUGGGGUAAUGGCCUACCAAGGCGACGAUCAGUAACUGAUUUGAGAGGAUGAUCAGUCACACUGGAACUGAGACACGGUCCAGACUCCUACGGGAGGCAGCAGUGGGGAAUUUUCUGCAAUGGGUGAAAGCCUGACAGAGCAAUACCGCGUGAGGGAUGACA